rnacentral:piRNA from 1 species
UAGCAAGAUGACAGGUGAAGAUGUGAGGU